rnacentral:lncRNA from 1 species
ACCGCCACGGUGACUUGCAAGCAACUCACUGCACUUAGGCACUUGACUACCUGAAUUUCUAAUCAGUGAAGGAAGGCUACUGGGUGUAGUCAAGUACUCGACUUGUCGGUGCGUGUGUCAAGAUGGGAUUGACCACUCUAGUUUAGGAGCUGUGUACAGUCAUGUUUUAAUUUAGCAAAACCUUGGCCAGGGUAGUCUUUGUGAGGAGUCACAGGACUGUUUGAGUUGAGCACGGUUCGGAUGAUCUAAUCAGAGUGGACAGUAACCAUAUUCACGUAGGUUCUGAGUGUUGUGAUUGUGACUAUUCGACCUAUCCGGUCAUCGGGUACCAUUGCUAGAUGGUCACUUCGAUUAGUACAGGAAUUGGUUCCUGUGCUACCGGCUUAGGUUCAAACCUGCGGGGUCACACACAUUAGAGGUUCCUAUCUGAUCUGAUGGCUGAUGAAGAGUCCUCAUGCUCAUGGACUAUGAGUCUUACGUGUCUAGGACUCUGUGAUCGAGAAUCAAGAUUCUCUGAUCAUGAGUCCCAUACAUUUUGGGUACCGGGGUCAAGAGUCCCACUGGUUUGGGACUCUUCGAUCAGGGUUACAUAUCGAUGAAUUCUGAUGCUCGAUUAUCCAUCGAAUUUGGACUCAAUAUUUAUG